AAUAGCUCACUAGUCGAGUGACUCCGCGCCGAAAAUGUACCGGGGCUAAGCAUAUUACCGAAUUUGCGGAUUCGAUACGAAAGUAUUGAGUGGUAGGGGAGCGUUCCAUAUUGGGAAGAAGCAAGAUCGAGAGGACUUGUGGACUAUAUGGAAGUGAGAAUGCCGGUGUGAGUAACGAAAAGACAGGUGAGAAUCCUGUCCGUCAAAAACCCAAGGUUUCCAGGGGAAGGGUCGUCCGCCCUGGGUAAGUCUGGGCCUAAGGUGAGGCCGAGAGGCGUAGCUGAUGGAUAUCUGGUGUAUAUUCCAGAACUAGUAUAAUGACUGAUGGAGUGACGAAGAAGGCUAGGAUCCGAUUCUUAGUGGAUUGAAUACGAGAUAUCAAGAGGGGAUGUAGGCAAAUCCGCAUCUAGAAAUCAAGAUAUGACAGGUAAAGGAUAACGAAGUCAAGCUUCCAAGAAAAGCUUCUAGGGUUAAUCAUUAUACUACCAGUACCGUAAACCGACACAGGUGGGUAGGAAGAGAAUUCUAAGACGCGCGAGAAAACCCUUGUUAAGGAACUCUGCAAGUUGGCCCCGUAAGUUCGCAAUAAGGGGAGCUCAUGUAAAAGUGAGCCACAGAAAAGAAGCCCAAGCAACUGUUUAACAAAAACACAGGUUUAUGCAAAACCGUAAGGUGAAGUAUAUGAGCUGACACCUGCCCGGUGCUGGAAGGUUAAAAGGAGAGGUUAGAGCAAUCGAAGCCUUGAAUUGAAGCCCCAGUAAACGGCGGCCGUAACUAUAACGGUCCUAAGGUAGCGAAAUUCCUUGUCAGGUAAGUUCUGACCCGCACGAAAGGUGUAAUGUCUUUGGGCACUGUCUCAACAGGGGACUCGGUGAAAUCAAACUGCCGGUGAAAAUGCCGGCUACCCGCGAUUAGACGGAAAGACCCCAUGGAGCUUUACUGUAGGUUGAUAUUGAUAUUUGGUAUGUAAUGUACAGGAUAGGUGGGAGACUAUGAAGCUAGGACGUUAGUCUUGGUGGAGUCGACGUUGGGAUACCACCCUUUGCCUAUCGAGUAUCUAACUAGUGUAAGUGGAUUACAAAGGACAGUGUCAGUUGGGCAGUUUGACUGGGGCGGUCGCCUCCUAAAGAGUAACGGAGGCGCUCGAAGGUUCCCUCAGAAUGGUUGGAAAUCAUUCGCAGAGUGUAAACGCAGAAGGGAGCUUGACUGCAAGACAAACAAGUCGAGCAGGGACGAAAGUCGGAGUUAGUGAUCUUACGGUACCGCGUGGAAGGGCCGUGACUCAACGGAUAAAAGCUACCCUGGGGAUAACAGGCUGAUCACGCCCAAGCGUUCACAGCGACGGCGUGGUUUGGCACCUCGAUGUCGGCUCGUCGCAUCCUGGAGGUGGAUAAGCUUCCAAGGGUUGGGCUGUUCGCCCAUUAAAGCGGCACGCGAGCUGGGUUCAAAACGUCGUGAGACAGUUUGGUCCCUAUCUGUCGUGGGCGUUGGAAAUUUGAAGAGAGCUGUCCUUAGUACGAGAGGACCGGGAUGGACAUACCACUGGUGUACCAGUUAGCCUGCCAGGGCUAUAAGCUGGGUAGCUACGUAUGGAACGGAUAAACGCUGAAAGCAUCUAAGCGU
rnacentral:rRNA from 1 species